AAAAGGAUCCAAAUCUGUGACCCGGCCUUUUUUGUUCAUUACAUAUACCUGAAAAAAUAGGGUUUGUGUUUCCUAAAAUCAAUCCGUCGAAUCUACCAUAACCUGAAGAAAUUUUGUAUUCUCUGAUAGUGAAUCUAAGCCUUCUCUUGAAGUUGUUGUGGAUUAUCAACUCUGUGCCAUGGAUUUGUUUUGAAAUAGCUCGCAUUUCAGCUAUCAGAAUUGUGCUCUGGUUGUUGGGAAUAUCAAGUUUUUUUGGAGCUUCAUUGAUGGGUUUGGACCCCUGAGAGUACAUCAACAUAUAGGUAAGCCUCUAUUUUUUAUUCUAUUUUUGGUCUCUUUGAAUCCUUGCUCUGAAGACUGUGUUUUAUCUUGUUGCUACUACUGGGAGGGAGAUAACAAGAUGCUCGGACCCGCAAGUAGCUGAAAUAUGUGUAUCUCUGCAGGUGUAUUAUUAGCAGAUCUAGUAAAAACCCUUUCUUACACUGCGAGCCCUUUUUGUUUAUUGUAGUAGAAUAGGCUAUAUAGCUUUGUAUAGCUUUGAUGACUGUAAUUUUGUACAUAUUUAUUUUUGCUCAAGUUAAACUUUAGCCUGGUCAUCCCUAUCACCCUCUCAAUGGUGAAACUCUUAUGUAUGGACAUUGCAUCUUAUCACUACUUAGAAUUCUCUUGCCUUUA